rnacentral:rRNA from 1 species
AUUGAACGCUGGCGGCAGGCCUAACACAUGCAAGUCGAGCGGAGCGGCGGACGGGUGAGUAAUGCCUAGGAAUCUGCCUGGUAGUGGGGGAUAACGUCCGGAAACGGGCGCUAAUACCGCAUACUAUCAGAUGAGCCUAGGUCGGAUUAGCUAGUUGGUGGGGUAAAGGGCUACCAAGGCGACGAUCCGUAACUGGUCUGAGAGGAUGAUCAGUCAAAAGGGAAAUGAGAAACGGAGCAGAAGACGAAGGGAGGAAGCAGUGGGGAAUAUUGGACAAUGGGCGAAAGCCUGAUCCAGCCAUGCCGCGUGUGUGAAGAAGGUCGUGGGAUUGUAAAGCACUUUAAGUUGGGAGGCGUUACCAACAGAAUAAGCACCGGCUAACUUCGUGCCAGCAGCCGCGGUAAUAC